rnacentral:rRNA from 1 species
AGUGAACGCUGGCGGUAGGCCUAACACAUGCAAGUCGAACGGCAGCACAGUAAGAGCUUGCUCUUACGGGUGGCGAGUGGCGGACGGGUGAGGAAUACAUCGGAAUCUACUUUUUCGUGGGGGAUAACGUAGGGAAACUUACGCUACUACCGCAUACGACCUACGGGUGAAAGCAGGGGAUCUUCGGACCUUGCGCGACUGAAUGAGCCGAUGUCGGAUUAGCUAGUUGGCGGGGUAAAGGCCCACCAAGGCGACGAUCCGUAGCUGGUCUGAGAGGAUGAUCAGCCACACUGGAACUGAGACACGGUCCAGACUCCUACGGGAGGCAGCAGUGGGGAAUAUUGGGCAAUGGGCGCAAGCCUGAUCCAGCCAUACCGCGUGGGUGAAGAAGGCCUUCGGGUUGUAAAGCCCUUUUGUUGGGAAAGAAAAGCAGCAGGUUAAUACCCCGCUGUUCUGACGGUACCCAAAGAAUAAGCACCGGCUAACUUCGUG